rnacentral:rRNA from 1 species
GAUCAGUGGCUCAGGACGAACGCUGGCGGCGUGCUUAACACAUGCAAGUCGAACGGAAAGGCCCAGCUUGCUGGGUACUCGAGUGGCGAACGGGUGAGUAACACGUGGGUGAUCUGCCCUGCACUCUGGGAUAAGCCUGGGAAACUGGGUCUAAUACCGGAUAUGACCAACUGUCGCAUGGUGGUUGGUGGAAAGCUUUUGCGGUGUGGGAUGGGCCCGCGGCCUAUCAGCUUGUUGGUGGGGUAAUGGCCUACCGAGGCGACGACGGGUAGCCGACCUGAGAGGGUGAUCGGCCACACUGGGACUGAGACACGGCCCAGACUCCUACGGGAGGCAGCAGUGGGGAAUAUUGCACAAUGGGCGCAAGCCUGAUGCAGCGACGCCGCGUGAGGGAUGACGGCCUUCGGGUUGUAAACCUCUUUCACCAGGGACGAAGCGUGAGUGACGGUACCUGGAGAAGAAGCACCGGCCAACUACGUG